rnacentral:rRNA from 1 species
CCUACGGGAGGCUGCAGUGGGGAAUAUUGCACAAUGGGCGCAAGCCUGAUGCAGCCAUGCCGCGUGUGCGAAGAAGGCCUUCGGGUUGUAAAGCACUUUCAGCGGGGAGGAAGGCGGUGAGGUUAAUAACCUCAUCGAUUGACGUUACCCGCAGAAGAAGCACCGGCUAACUCCGUGCCAGCAGCCGCGGUAAUACGGAGGGUGCAAGCGUUAAUCGGAAUUACUGGGCGUAAAGCGCACGCAGGCGGUCUGUCAAGUCGGAUGUGAAAUCCCCGGGCUCAACCUGGGAACUGCAUUCGAAACUGGCAGGCUAGAGUCUUGUAGAGGGGGGUAGAAUUCCAGGUGUAGCGGUGAAAUGCGUAGAGAUCUGGAGGAAUACCGGUGGCGAAGGCGGCCCCCUGGACAAAGACUGACGCUCAGGUGCGAAAGCGUGGGGAGCAAACAGGAUUAGAUACCCGAGUAGUC